rnacentral:rRNA from 1 species
GGGUCCCCCUUGUGGUCGGUGUACAGGUGGUGCAUGGCUGUCGUCAGCUCGUGUCGAGAGAUGUUGGGUUAAGUCCCGCAACGAGCGCAACCCUUGUCCCGUGUUGCCAGCAGGCCCUUGUGGUGCUGGGGACUCACGGGAGACCGCCGGGGUCAACUCGGAGGAAGGUGGGGACGACGUCAAGUCAUCAUGCCCCUUAUGUCUUGGGCUGCACACGUGCUACAAUGGCCGGUACAAUGAGCUGCGAUACCGCGAGGUGGAGCGAAUCUCAAAAAGCCGGUCUCAGUUCGGAUUGGGGUCUGCAACUCGACCCCAUGAAGUCGGAGUCGCUAGUAAUCGCAGAUCAGCAUUGCUGCGGUGAAUACGUUCCCGGGUCUUGUACACACCGA